rnacentral:rRNA from 1 species
UACGUAGGUCCCGAGCGUUGUCCGGAUUUAUUGGGCGUAAAGCGAGCGCAGGUGGUUUAUUAAGUCUGGUGUAAAAGGCAGUGGCUCAACCAUUGUAUGCAUUGGAAACUGGUAGACUUGAGUGCAGGAGAGGAGAGUGGAAUUCCAUGUGUAGCGGUGAAAUGCGUAGAUAUAUGGAGGAACACCGGUGGCGUAAGCGGCUCUCUGGCCUGUAACUGACACUGAGGCUCGAAAGCGUGGGGAGCAAACAGG